UUCUGGGUCGGGGUUUCGUACGUAGCA
rnacentral:piRNA from 8 species